CGGAAACCGCUCCCGUAGACUUUGCGACGUACUGUACUACGCACACGAACUCGUUCGCAUUUUCCGGAAAAUCGAAAGUACCCGCGGGUAACGCGAACCGCAAACGGAGACGACUGCGACGGAUUUCAAAUAUUACCGAACGGUUAACGAGAAUGUCGGUUACUCGCGGGUCCGUACGCGAGCCCUGCAAUUUAUUGCGCCGAGCGGUUAUGCGGAAGCGUCGUCGCUUCGACCUUUGUCGCAAUCGUUUUGCGAAGCCGACGCGAGUUCUGAUACACAGUGAUUCCUG